rnacentral:rRNA from 1 species
UACAGAGGUCUCGAGCGUUGUUCGGAUUCAUUGGGCGUAAAGGGCGCGUAGGCGGCGGGGUAAGUCUGGUGUGAAAUCUCGGAGCUCAACUCCGAAACUGCAUUCGAUACUGCCGUGCUUGAGGACUGGAGAGGAGACUGGAAUUUACGGUGUAGCGGUGAAAUGCGUAGAUAUCGUAAGGAAGACCAGUGGCGAAGGCGGGUCUCUGGACAGUUCCUGACGCUGAGGCACGAAGGUCAGGGGAGCAAACGGG